AUUGAACGCUGGCGGCAGGCUUAACACAUGCAAGUCGAGCGAGCGGCGGACGGGUGCGUAAUGUCUGGGAAACUGCCUGAUGGAGGGGGAUAACUACUGGAAACGGUAGCUAAUACCGCAUACCAUCAGAUGUGCCCAGAUGGGAUUAGCUAGUGGGUGGGGUAAUGGCUCACCUAGCCGACGAUCCCUAGCUGGUCUGAGAGGAUGACCAGCCACACUGGAACUGAGACACGGCCCAGACUCCUACGGGAGGCAGCAGUAGGGAAUAUUGCGCAAUGGGCGCAAGCCUGAUGCAGCCAUGCAGCGUGUAUGAAGAAGGCCUUCGGGUUGUAAAGCACUUUCGGCAGAGAGGCGUUACUCACAGAAGAAGCACCGGCUAACUCCGUGCCAGCCGCCGCGGUAAUUC
rnacentral:rRNA from 1 species